GAUGAACGCUGGCGGCGUGCUUAACACAUGCGAGUCGAACGGAAAGGCCAGUGCUUGCACUGGUGCUCGAGUGGCGAACGGGUGAGUAACACGUGGGUGAUCUGCCCUGCACUUUGGGAUAAGCCUGGGAAACUGGGUCUAAUACCAGAUAGGACCAUGCUUUGGAUGGUGUGGUGGAAAGUUUUUUCGGUGUGGGAUGAGCUUGCGGCCUAUCAGCUUGUUGGUGGGGUAAUGGCCUACCAAGGCGUCGACGGGUAGCCGGCCUGAGAGGGUGUACGGCCACAUUGGGACUGAGAUACGGCCCAGACUCCUACGGGAGGCAGCAGUGGGGAAUAUUGCACAAUGGGCGCAAGCCUGAUGCAGCGACGCCGCGUGGGGGAUGACGGCCUUCGGGUUGUAAACUCCUUUCGCAACUGACGAAGCUUUUUGUGACGGUGGGUUGAGAAGAAGCACCGGCUAACUACGUG
rnacentral:rRNA from 1 species